AUGCUCACCUGGCAGGGGAGACACCAUGAACAUGAAGGUGGUUUUCCCAGGGCAAGGCUUACCCACUGUACUCCAGAUAUACUGACCCCUGUGAUUUCCCCAAAUGUGGGAAACUCGACUACAUAAUUUGUGGUAGUGGGGGACUGCAUUCGCACUCUCCGC
rnacentral:snRNA from 1 species